GACGAACGCUGGCGGCGUGCUUAACACAUGCAAGUCGAACGGAAAGGCCCUGCAUUUGUGGGUUGCUCGAGUGUCGAACGGGUGUGUAACACGUGAGUAACCUGCCCCUUACUUUGGGAUAACUUCAGGAAACUGGGGCUAAUACCGGCUAGGAGCUCCUGCUGCAUGGUGGGGGUUGGAAAGUUUCGGCGGUUGGGGAUGGACUCGCGGCUUAUCAGCUUGCUGGUGGGGUAGUGGCUUACCAAGGCUUUGACGGGUAGCCGGCCUGAGAGGGUGACCGGACACAUUGGGACGGAGAUACGGCCCAGACUCAUACGGGAGGCAGGGGUGGGGAAUAUUGCACAAUGGGCGGAAGCCUGAUGCAGCAACGCGGCGUGCGGGAUGACGGCCUUCGGGUUGUAAACCGCUUUCGCCUGUGACGAAGCGUGAGUGACGGUAAUGGGUAAAGAAGCACCGGCUAACUACGUG
rnacentral:rRNA from 1 species